UACAGAGGUCCCAAGCGUUGUUCGGAUUCACUGGGCGUAAAGGGUGCGUAGGUGGCGGGGUAAGUCGGAUGUGAAAUCUCCGAGCUCAACUCGGAAAUGGCAUUGGAAACUACCUUGCUAGAGGGUCGGAGGGGGGACUGGAAUACUUGGUGUAGCAGUGAAAUGCGUAGAUAUCAAGUGGAACACCAGUGGCGAAGGCGAGUCCCUGGACGACUCCUGACACUGAGGCACGAAAGCUAGGGGAGCAAACAGG
rnacentral:rRNA from 1 species